GUGCUCGCUUUGGCAGCACAUAUGCUAAAAUUGGGAUGAUAUGGAGAAGAUUACCAUGGCCCCUGCACAAAGAUGACACACACCAUGUUUUU
rnacentral:snRNA from 1 species